GACGAACGCUGGCGGCGUGCUUAACACAUGCAAGUCGAACGGAAAGGCCCUGCUUUUGUGGGGUGCUCGAGUGGCGAACGGGUGAGUAACACGUGAGUAACCUGCCCUUGACUUUGGGAUAACUUCAGGAAACUGGGGCUAAUACCGGAUAGGAGCUCCUGCUGCAUGGUGGGGGUUGGAAAGUUUCGGCGGUUGGGGAUGGACUCGCGGCUUAUCAGCUUGUUGGUGGGGUAGUGGCUUACCAAAGCUUUGACGGGUAGCCGGCCUGAGAGGGUGACCGGCCACAUUGGGACUGAGAUACUGCCCAGACUCCUACGGGAGGCAGCAGUGGGGAAUAUUGCACAAUGGGCGGAAGCCUGAUGCAGCAACGCCGCGUGCGGGAUGACGGCCUUCGGGUUGUAAACCGCUUUCGCCUGUGACGAAGCGUGAGUGACGGUAAUGGGUAAAGAAGCACCGGCUAACUACGUGCCAGCAGCCGCGGUGAUACGUAGGGUGCGAGCGUUGUCCGGAUUUAUUGGGCGUAAAGGGCUCGUAGGUGGUUGAUCGCGUCGGAAGUGUAAUCUUGGGGCUUAACCCUGAGCGUGCUUUCGAUACGGGUUGACUUGAGGAAGGUAGGGGAGAAUGGAAUUCCUGGUGGAGCGGUGGAAUGCGCAGAUAUCAGGAGGAACACCAGUGGCGAAGGCGGUUCUCUGGGCCUUUCCUGACGCUGAGGAGCGAAAGCGUGGGGAGCGAACAGGCUUAGAUACCCUGGUAGUCCACGCUGUAAACGGUGGGUACUAGGUGUGGGGUCCAUUCCACGGGUUCCGUGCCGUAGCUAACGCUUUAAGUACCCCGCCUGGGGAGUACGGCCGCAAGGCUAAAACUCAAAGGAAUUGACGGGGCCCCGCACAAGCGGCGGAGCAUGCGGAUUAAUUCGAUGCAACGCGUAGAACCUUACCUGGGUUUGACAUGGAUCGGGAGUGCUCAGAGAUGGGUGUGCCUCUUUUGGGGUCGGUUCACAGGUGGUGCAUGCCUGUCGUCAGCUCGUGUCGUGAGAUGUUGGGUUAAGUCCCGCAACGAGCGCAACCCUUGUUCACUGUUGCCAGCACGUUAUGGUGGGGACUCAGUGGAGACCGCCGGGGUCAACUCGGAGGAGGGUGGGGAUGACGUCAAGUCCUCAUGCCCCUUAUGUCCAGGGCUUCACGCAUGCUACAAUGGCUGGUACAGAGAGUGGCGAGCCUGUGAGGGUGAGCGAAUCUCGGAAAGCCGGUCUCAGUUCGGAUUGGGGUCUGCAACUCGACCUCAUGAAGUCGGAGUCGCUAGUAAUCGCAGAUCAGCAACGCUGCGGUGAAUACGUUCCCGGG
rnacentral:rRNA from 1 species